GUGGAUGAGGCAUGCAAGUCGAACGAAGCAUCUAGCAAUAGAUGCUUAGUGGCGGAAGGGUUAGUAAUACAUGGGUAACUUGCCUUUAACUUUGGAAUAACGGUUGGAAACGAUCGCUAAUACCAAAUGUGGUGGUGUCUGGCAUCAGAUGCUUAUUAAAGUGGGGGAUCGUAAGACCUCGCGGUUAAAGAGAGGCCCAUGAGAUAUCAGCUAGUUGGUGAGGUAACGGCUCACCAAGGCUAAGACGUCUAGGCGGAUUGAGAGAUUG
rnacentral:rRNA from 1 species